AGAAAUCGCAUUUAUGUCUGGUAUAUGUUGUCGAAGGGCUUGGUUUGUAAUCAGUUCUAGCUAGUUUACAAGUCCUUGCUCAGAGUCUAUGGCCGGCGAGAGUCGCCCAGCCGAGACGAGGGUAGAGAGCAGUCAUUAGGUGGGAUCAUGCCCAAGACACACGUCCUCUUGUCCUACUGAGAGUUAGUGUGUCCACCCCUAAGCAGCCUCUGUACACUCACCUCAAAAGUACCGAGUGCUUCUUGCAAAGCAACCAUCGGGAUACCACAGCAUCGUGUACACGACGGCAGUUCUUGCAUUUGGCCCUAACUUCCACUAAUGAUGGCGAGGAGACGCUGGCGAGUCGGCUCGUGUCUUAAUGAGGAACAAGACGUGUACAGUACAUGAUGAAUUGGCUUGAAUUUCACCCAGGCUCCUGGACGAUAACACAUGGCAGUACCCGGCAACUGAUCGCCCUAAACACACCAGAGGCAGUCUGAUCCAAGCCAAACCUGUAACACGUUUGACUAUGAUCGCCCGGUAAGGAGAUUAACCGGCCACGUCAACUCCAAAUAAACUGCAUCGCGGCAGGUUAAUCUCCUCACCGGGCUAUCGUAAUAAUAAUAAUAAUAAAACAGGAGAUGAAAAAUUCAA